CAGCCGCCGCGGGAAUACAGAGGGUGCGAGCGUUAAUCGGAUUUACUGGGCGUAAAGCGUGCGUAGGCGGCUUCUUAAGUCGGAUGUGAAAUCCCUGAGCUUAACUUAGGAAUUGCAUUCGAUACUGGGAAGCUAGAGUAUGGGAGAGGAUGGUAGAAUUCCAGGUGUAGCGGUGAAAUGCGUAGAGAUCUGGAGGAAUACCGAUGGCGAAGGCAGCCAUCUGGCCUAAUACUGACGCUGAGGUACGAAAGCAUGGGGAGCAAACAGGAUUAGAUACCCCGGUAGUCCCUGUCUCUUAUAA
rnacentral:rRNA from 1 species